ACGCUAGCUACAGGCUUAACACAUGCAAGUCGAGGGGCAGCAUGGAAGAAGCUUGCUUCUUCUGAUGGCGACCGGCGCACGGGUGCGUAACGCGUAUCAAACCUGCCUCAUACUCGGGGAUAGCCUUGCGAAAGUAAGAUUAAUACCCGAUGUUGUUAUGUUGCCGCAUGGUGAUAUAACCAAAGAUUUAUCGGUAUGAGAUGGCGAUGCGUCCGAUUAGGUAGUAGGCGGGGUAACGGCCCACCUAGCCUUCGAUCGGUAGGGGUUCUGAGAGGAAGGUCCCCCACACUGGAACUGAGACACGGUCCAGACUCCUACGGGAGGCAGCAGUGAGGAAUAUUGGUCAAUGGACGGAAGUCUGAACCAGCCAAGUAGCGUGCAGGAUGACGGCCCCCCGGGUUGUAAACUGCUUUUAGUUGGGAAUAAAAAAGAGGACGUGUCCUCUAUUGUAUGUACCUUCAGAAAAAGGACCGGCUAAUUCCGUGCCAGCAGCCGCGGUAAUACGGAAGGUCCAGGCGUUAUCCGGAUUUAUUGGGUUUAAAGGGAGCGUAGGCGGAUUAUUAAGUCAGUGGUGAAAGACGGUGGCUCAACCAUCGUUAGCCAUUGAAACUGGUAGUCUUGAGUGCAGACAGGGAUGCUGGAACUCGUGGUGUAGCGGUGAAAUGCUUAGAUAUCACGAUGAACUCCGAUCGCGAAGGCAGGUGUCCGGGCUGCAACUGACGCUGAGGCUCGAAAGUGUGGGUAUCAAACAGGAUUAGAUACCCUGGUAGUCCACACAGUAAACGAUGUAUACUCGCGGUUUGCGAUACAAUGUAAGCCGCCAAGCGAAAGCAUUAAGUAUACCACCUGGGGAGUACGCCGGCAACGGUGAAACUCAAAGGAAUUGACGGGGGCCCGCACAAGCGGAGGAACAUGUGGUUU
rnacentral:rRNA from 1 species